CCUAGGACCCUGGGAUCAUGACCUGAGCCAAAGGCAGACGCUUAAGGACUGAGCCCCCCAGGCACCUAAGUGACUUGGCUCUGGUCCAUGUUCCAUGCAUAAUCUCCGGACCACCUCCUUCGACAUAGAAGUUGCUGCAGUGUGCUGCCGGAGUAAAGGAGAAAAGUGGAAUGUGACCUGUGCUGUGCAGGGUCUUGGGUUGGUGACAGAGAAGCCUGCGGCUGCUGAGUGGGGCGAUGGAUGGGCUGGCGCUUCAGAAACAAUUAGCCCUGGGACAGCAGGAGCGUGAGUAAUCGAGGGCCCGGUGAGGGAGCGGGAAGCUGGCUUCCUCCCCUCCUGUCAGCCUGCUCUGCCCAGCCCCGCCUCUCCCUGGCAGACCGCACACGGGCAUCUCACCAGCACCCCUGGGCGGAAGCCCUCCUGAGGGUCGCUAGCCACUAGGCUCGUGCCUGGCCAAGACCAGGGCUCCAUCCGUCUCCAGAAGGCAUCACUCACAAAUUCAUUCUAGCCAUUUACAGAUGCUAAAACCACACGUGAGAGCAGAAUGCUGAGCAAGAGAUUGUACCAUGCUGGCUGGUUUCUGGCUCGGGAAACAGCCCCAGGAGGAGCAGGCAUACCUCAGGGAGAUUGCAGGUUGGGUUCCAGACCACCUCAAGGAAGCGGAUAUCACAAUAAAUUUCUUCCUCCACUGAAGUCUGGAACCCCUCAAAGUCCUCCGUGAGGGCUGGAUUCCACUUCUUCCAAACUCCUGUUCAUGUUGAUACCGUGACCUCUUCCCGUGAAUUACAAAUAGUCUUAAUGGCACCUAGAAGAGUGAAUCCUUUCCAGAAGAUUUCCGUGUACUUUGCUCAGGCCCAUCAGAGGAAUUACUAGCUGCAGCAGCUACAGCCUUACGAGAUGCAAUCCUUAAAUAAUACGACUUGACAAUGGAAAUGACUGCUUGGUGCCCGGGCUGCUGAAUAGGUCCUGUGUCGGGAGGCACGAAGCCCACAUGAGUCUCGUUGCACGUCUCCGUCAGAGCUCCUGGGUGAGCAGGUGCUUUGCCAGUGAGCAGUCAUAUUAUGACAGGAAUUUUUUUUUUUUUUUCUGAGUAGCAGGUCUCAACAGUGGGCUUAAAAUAUUCAGAAAACCAUGUUGUAAACAGAUGUGCUGUCAUCCAGGCUUUGUUGUUCCACUGAUAGAGCACAGAGUAGAUUAGCCUAAUUCUCAAGGGCCCUAGGGCCUUCGGAAUGAUAAAUGAGCACUGGCUUCCACUUAAAGUCACCAGCUGCAUUAGCCCCUAUAGGCUUUGGCGAAAGGGAAUGUUGUGGCUGGUUUGAUCUUCUAUCCAGAUCACUACAGCUUUCUCCAUAUCUGCAAUAAGGCUGUUUGGCUUGCUUGCUUUUUUUCUUUUUUAAGGCUGUUUUGCUUUCUUAUCACUCGUGUGCUCACUGUAGCAGCACUUUUAAUUUCCUCCAGGAACUUUUUCCUUUGCACGCACAACUUGCUAAUAGGCGUAAGAAGCCUAGCUUUCAGCCUGUCUUGGCUUUUGACAUGCCUUCUUCACUAAGCUUAAUCAUUUCUAGCUUAUGAUUUAAGGUGUGAGACGUGCAACUUUUUUGAACACUUAGAGGCCCUUGUAGGGUUGUUAACUGGUCUAAUUCCAAUAUUGUUGCGUCUCAGGGAGAAGGGAGAGCGCUGGGAAAGGCUGGUGGGUGGAGUAGUCAGAACGCACACAUUUAUUGUUUGUCAUCUUCUAUGGGUGUGGAUUGUGAUGCCUUCAGACAAUUACAGUAGUGACACAAAGAUCACUGGUCACAGAGAUGACAAAUAAUAAUGAAAAAAUUUAGGGGCGCCUGGGUGGCGCAGUCGGUUAAGCUUCCGACUCUUGGUUUGGG